UGUACCGAAGUGUGCAAGUGUCGCGCGGCUGGAUCGACACAAAGGGCGAUCCUGAGAAAACGUUAGCCGAGUUUGUUGACCCGAUGGCUGCUCUGAUUUUUAUCUUUCGUCUCCUUUCAACGGAAAUGUCGAUGCGAUUUAUACUUCUAUAGAAAUACUUUGGCGGUAGUUACUCGUAGGCAUACGACACGUUUACCUUGGUUAACCGAUUGUUUCUCGCGUGUCUAGGAUGUCGGAAAGGAGGUGCAAAAUAAUCUGGCUCGUCCUCUAUAAUAAGAAACGAAACUGUAUUUCACGUGGAGAGUGUCUGUAAUAUAAUUAUCAAACGUUUGUUGAGUUCGUUAAUAAAUAUUCUCAUGGA